rnacentral:rRNA from 1 species
UACGGGGGGGGCAAGCGUUGUUCGGAAUUACUGGGCGUAAAGGGCUCGUAGGCGGCCAACUAAGUCAGACGUGAAAUCCCUCGGCUUAACCGGGGAACUGCGUCUGAUACUGGAUGGCUUGAGUUUGGGAGAGGGAUGCGGAAUUCCAGGUGUAGCGGUGAAAUGCGUAGAUAGUCGGAGAACACCAGUGGCGAAGGCGGCUCACUGGCCCGGUACUGACGCUGAGAUGCGAAAGCGUGGGGAGCAAACAGG